AUCUUGUUCAUUAAUGAAAAAUCCUUAAGAAAAAUUGUUUUUGCUGAGAAUUUGUUUCGUCUCACAUCAUAACGGUCACAAAAAAAGUGUCAACAAUAGCUUCUAUAAAUAACCAGUCCCGCUAUCAUUAUAUCAUCUCUUAACUCUAACUCUCUCUAAUUAACACUCUGCGAUUAUUUCUGUGAAUUUGUGUUGUUUGCGGUUUCAAGAAUGUUGAUACCACUUUCAAUUGUAGAUGAUGUUGCUAUCGUUGAUUUAGGUCAACAACAUCACCGCCACAACAUGUUACCUGUGUAUGUUCUCUUUGAUUCUCGUACCAUGUCUCACAACCACCACCCAACAAGAACACCACCUGGGUCUGUGAUCGAUCAACCUCUUCUCUUUGAUUCUCGUAUCACCAACAAUGUUCCAACAAGAUUAAUGUCUCACAACCACAACAGUGUUUCAUCAAGAUUAACUUCACCAACAGUGUCUGUGGUAGAUGAAACUGUUCUCUAUGACUUUCCUAUCGGCAAUGUUCCAAGAAGAUCAAGGAUUCAUCAUCAAACGGGUCAUCCCCACCACAACCACCACCACCACCACAAUGGUACUCGAGCUUCUCCGGCGGUGAUGGGUGUUCAAAAUACUAGAGCUUCUGGUGCUCAAGAUACUUGUCAACAUGUCACAACAUCAACAACAGAUGCUCAAUCCAUUUGUUGCAUUUGUCUUGUUAACUUGUCUAAUGGUUCUUCCAUGCCAAUUCGGCUGCGCUGCUCUCAUGAUUUUCAUACCGACUGCAUUCAAAAAUGGAUCAACAUUAAGAAAACUUGUCCACUUUGUCGCGCCAAUGUUUAAUUUUCAUAUAUAGAGUGUUGUUGAUUUAUAAAAAUGUUUCCUUUCUUUUGUUAUUUUCCAUGUUUUGGUUUGAUGAUUUUCCAUGUUUAGGUUUGAUUCCCUUGGAUUACCGGACAUUCCUUCAAGCCCUCUGAGGUAAGUUUUUGUUGGGUUGCUGUUACCUAUGAUACAUCAUGUGUGUUGGAGUUUUGUUUGUUAGUAUAGGUUCUACAUAAAACAUAUAUGUGCUCUGUCUUUGUGUGCAAACCUGUUUUUUUGUGUCAAUAUGUGUUACACAGCAUAUGUUUAUAGUGAUUUUGUUUAUGAAUAUUUAGAACUAUGCUUCUGUCCUUGCAAUCAUCCAAUUUUAUAGUUGUGAACAGAUGCGUUGAAUAACGGUAGAUGUUUAUGUUGUCCUGCACUAGUCUAUUAGGCAAGGCCUAUAAAAGAUUCAAUUUAAUGUUAAAAUAAUAGUAAAGGUUUUGUUUCGUUUUGUCUCUAUCAGUUAUUAUAUGCUUGUUUGGUUGGAUGGAUUAUGGAAAGUAACAACUAUUUUGUUACAAUGGAGAAGGUGUGGUGGGAUCUUAAUAUGGAUUAUAGCUUACGGGUCACGUAAGCAUGCUUUUAUGAUUCUUACUAGUUAUGAUUCUAUAGUAAAUAUGAGAAGCAAUGAAGAUAAGAAAAGGUUAAGGAUUACUUUUCUGGAUUUGUACUCAAGGUGACUAGUAUGGUAGGUUGUAUGGCUUUCAGAUGGAACUCAAAGGUAAAAUAUAUAUUUCAUUCCCUUUGAUGGAUUCACCUUUUUCCCUUGGUUGAAUGAAUGUAGGUUACUCUCUCUAUGCAGAUAUUCAGAGAUCAAUUCUUGGCCAGGGAAGUCGUGUAUAGGAUGCAACUUGUUUGAAAUAAAAAGUUAAAAGUUUGUCAUUUCCCAACUAAUGGUUUUUUGUUUUCUGGUAAUGUUGCAAUGUUCAAGAUUAUUUAGGUAACUACUGAGCAACUUACAAUAUUGUUUAUUGCUUUCACUUCCUUUUUCUUUGUCAAUAUGUGUUACACCAUGAAUUGGAUUAAAGUGAUUUUGUCUGAUUCUCGGUGUUUGCAUAUUGUGGUUGUUUAGUACCAUGAAGUUUAGGUGCAUGUGUUUAGCUUGUUAUCUAUCAUUUAUUAGAAAUAUACAUGGACUUAUAGAGUAUUUUCUGUAGCUGCAACUUGUGGUAGAGUUGCGGCGGUUUUGAAGCAUCCUCCUCCACUUAAUUUUACCACAGUAGCUGCGAGCUUAAUAUAUAAUCUGGAAACCUCCGCCACUUAAUUUUACCACAGUAACUCAAUUAUUUAUUCGGUUAGGCUAAUCAUAGUGAAUUUGAGAAAACAAAAUUAAACUCAAGCAAGAUUGCAAGUUUAACAGGGUUUGAACUUUGUGUCAAAUUUAGAUCAACCAAGGUAUGCAACACAGGUGAUUUCAUUGCAUUUAUCUUUACUUUUUAUUUUUUAUGAUUUCAUUUCAUAUUUGCUUUAUGUACCAGCUAUACUUCUUCACCCUUUUCAAGGGUUCAGGAGGGUUCUAAAUCUUUAAAAUUUCUAUUGUUUGUUGUGCAUGAAUAGAAGAAUCAUUGAGUCUGAGUUCUGAAAAUGGAGAAGAAUUAGUCAUGGUGUAACAAUUGUGAUCUAUCUCAAGUCAUAUAUGUACUCUUCUUGUUUUCUUGUUUUUUUUUCUUAUAGUUUUAACAUCUCUUAAUUGUAUGUUUCUUGGUUGUACAGUCAUUGUAAUGGUUAUAAUGCUAAUUGCUAAUGCCUUGAAGCUUUUGUGACCUUUUCUCAUCAGCAACAGAUUUUGAAACACUCUCCAUGUCCUUGCAUCUUCUUGCAACAUACUCAAAUUCUACUCUUGUUUGGUGCAUAUCCUUUGAAGUUUCUACCGUCGGCUUUUUAUCCUGAGAAACUUGUUGAGCCUUACAUGCCAAACAGCCGUGUUCAAAGAUUAUGGGACGUAGUGUAGGAUCUAAUUAAUUUAAAGAAAAUGGACCUCAGCUGUUGUGAGCACUUGAUAGAGCUUCCUGAUUUCUCCAUGGUAUCACAUCUCCAAUACAUUCACCUCUCUAGACGUGUAAGGCUGCGUCAUGUUCAUACAACUACUUUAGCGCUCCAAAAUCUUGUCAAUUUAAUCCGGGUUUGGUGCAAAAAGCUCGAGUCUUAUAAGCAAUUCCUCUUUAAACUCUGCGAAUUCUCGAGCUCUAUGGCUGCUCAAGUCUCAAGGAAUUUUCUGUGAUAUCUACAAAAAUGACAUAGUUGGAUUUAAGAUGAUGUAUUGCUAUCAAUGAAUUGCGGCAGCCAUAAGUUAAGUACCUUGGAAGUCUUAUGAACAUGGAGCUGAGUAGCUAUGAUGGGCACCUUAGAUAUCUUCCAAAUGAGUUCUCAUGCUUGAAAUUCUGAUUGCAUGCUACUUGACAUAUCGAAUGGCCGGCAUUCUUUAGGAUACUUUUGUCUGGACAACAGUUGUAAUCUGACUGAACUACCUCACAACAACAACAACAUUCUGUUAAGAUUAUUAUAUUAUUUAUCACUCAGCGGAAUCAAUGUGAAGAACGUUCCUAUAAGCAUCAAGCAUCUUUCACAGCCAGAUUCUCUUGGCUUGUGCAAAUGCAUGAGCAUUUAGUCUCUACCAGAACUCUCACCAUCUAUUCAAGUGUUGGAUGUCACCAACUGCACAUCCUUGGAGACCGUCGUCAUCUCUCGUGUUAUCAAUGAACUACUAGAAGAGCACAAGGUAUUCAUUUCCUUCAAAAAUUGUGUGAAAUUGAAUGAAUACUUAGAGGAAAGACUUCAAUGUCAGGUACUCUUCACUGUUUAAAGAGGAGACAUGUUUUUUUUCAGAGUCAAAUCGGUUUCAGCACAAUAAGUCACGGAACCCUUGUUUGGAGUAGAACCAUCUAUGAAUUUGAAUUUAGUAGGAGUGCAAUAUUAUUGCUUAGGAAAUCACACAUCAGCCAUACGACGAUUCCUUCCACAGAAAGUUCAAUUUGUUAUUGUAGGCACCUUUCCCUUUUCCAUCCGUAAGAUUAAGAAGGGCUUGAGAUUCAUGAGCAACAUUCAAAUCAUUUAAGGUCUCAUGUAUUUCACCAAAAUUGCUUUCCAUGGUUAAAUGAGUAUUUAGUUAGAUUCUAGUUGUUUAUAUAACAAACUUUGUAUAUACUAGUGAUAGCUUUUUUAAACACACA